AUUAAUUCAUCCGAGGGGCAACACAUGCGCAAAAUCAAUUCAUCCGAAAGGCAACACAUCCGCUCCCAGCUGUCUGCUUACCCUGAGUCAGUAUCGGGUUUGGAGCUUGUGCGCUGAAGAGGCACGACGAGCUCCACCUUAAAAAGCACCUGGGCCAGUGACAAUGCGAAAUGUGAAAGACGGGAGGAGGGCUCGAUUAUUCUUUCGCCACUAGGGUAAGAUGCUUACGACCUAACUAUCUUUCCACUGGUAAAUCCCCGUCUGUGCAGCCCAAACAGACAGAGCUGCUUUGGGGCAGGAGGAAGACCUUUUGUCGGGAGGGACUACGGGCAGUGGUUUCAAGCUACAGCGGGCGGAAACUGCACCUGCACGGCUCGCUGCGGUGGAGAUCGAACCAUGCAGCAGGGAACUGCUUGUCAGCACAUGUAGGGUGUCCCCUGCAUUUCCUGGGAUGGACUCAUCAGAGCCCUGCAUUAGACUGUGACAAUCCAGAUGAACCUCAACCGCUUCUCCAGAUCAAGAGGAGCAAGCUGAAUUGUUUUGCAUAUCUUAUAAGGACGUCACCUGGUCAACUCUCAAGGGAACUGAGGCUGCUGUGGGCCGGGCCAGAACCAGGAGGUGCUGGAGAGACUACAGCUCCGGGCUGCAUUUUUUGACAUA